rnacentral:rRNA from 1 species
UACGAAGGGGGCUAGCGUUGCUCGGAAUUACUGGGCGUAAAGCGCACGUAGGCGGAUUGUUAAGUCGGGGGUGAAAUCCUGGAGCUCAACUCCAGAACUGCCUUCGAUACUGGCGAUCUCGAGUUCGGGAGAGGUGAGUGGAACUGCGAGUGUAGAGGUGAAAUUCGUAGAUAUUCGCAAGAACACCAGUGGCGAAGGCGGCUCACGGGCCCGAUACUGACGCUGAGGUGCGAAAGCGUGGGGAGCAAACAGG